UGAAAGCACUAUUACUUAAACUUUAAAAAUAAAAACCAUAAACAACUUUGGUUGAUAAAAAAUUAAAUUUUCAACGAUGGAUGUCUUGGCUCCCAUAUCGAUGAAGAACGCAGCUAGAAUGCGAUAUGCAAUGUGAAUUGCAGAACCACGAAUCAUCGGAUCUUUGAACGCAACUGGCGCUGGAAAAACCAGCAUACUUGUUUCAGUGUGCGCAAACAAAUAAACCAUAUAAAUGUGAGAGAAGUUCUCUCAUGAAAUAUAUGCUCCCUGCAGCAGUCACAUUUAUUUGUGAGCUGAAGGGCUGACUUCUGCCUUAUUUGCACCUGAAAUCAAGUAAG
rnacentral:misc_RNA from 1 species